AUCCUUUUUGUGGUUUAUAAGCUUGAUGAUUGGGUGUAUACACCUUUGUAUGUGAUAUAUUCCUCCUUCUAAACCUUGUUACAUAUUGGCACAUGACCUGUCCAAUG
ensembl:snoRNA